rnacentral:sRNA from 1 species
AUGAACAAUAACAGCCCAAACGGAUAACCAUC